rnacentral:lncRNA from 11 species
GACUAUAUGUGAUAUGAGUUGCGAAACACGCAGCUAUUUCACCUGGACCUUUGCACCGCCUGCAUAUGGAUGUCUCAUUUUUGAUGGAACUAUAAUGCACCAAUGGUACAGCUCCAAGUGCCUAGGACGUUGUCUCUCGAUUGUCCAGUCACAGAAACGAUAGGAAUCCUACGUCAAUGGAGAUUAUGAUGUUAUUAAGGAUAUAUCAGAGGUUCAUCAGUUAAAGCGGAGUAUAUUCAGCAAGAUUCUAGUUAUCGCUUCAGCGCAACAGGAGUAAACAACGUUAGCAACUCUAACUACACGCUGGAACAAGUGGCGCAAGUGUGCCCUCUUUCAUCAGCCAACAACAAAGCCUAUGCCGUUCCAACACUCUCCUAGUUUCCAACGAAAAUAUCUGUACACCAACAAUCAGAACGCCUUCACUUAUGCUGCUAGCUCGUCAGAACCAUUCGAUUCGUCAUGGAUUGCUCUGAUCAUGCCGAAGUCACUUUUGGCGGCGCCUUUUGGGUAAGGUACACUUUUGUCCUUGGCAUUUGCUGAUCCUAGGAUGUUGACUCGAUGUAGCCUUACAAUACGAUGCAACCAUGGACCCACGCCAGCGCGUCACUAAUGCACUGUCGAGCGACGAAUAGGAGAUCCCGAACGAAGCGUCGCAGUCGCACGUGUAUUAGCAAAGAUCCCGUUGGGAACAAUAUAUCAAAUGGUAUGCGGUUUGGUGCCUUGCCCCCUUCUGCUCUCAAUUGCCUCCUCGUCACUGUUGUUUUUCUUUGCCUCGCAGCAGCAUUGCCCCAAGACAAGAUUCUGAAAGCUACUAAGACAAGCAGGGCGGCGUGUGGUAGCUAGUGAUAUAAACAAUCCGGAUCAUUUUCGAUACGAGUUGUAGGUCUCUAGCAAUAAAGUAAA